GUAAUCCUUAACUUUUUGGGUUUUCUAUCAGAGUAAUCUUUAAAAUUUAUGUGUAUCUAAAUGGAAUAAAAUCUUACUCUAGAACAGAAAUAGUUUUAACAUCCUACAUGUAUCUUUCAUUAGCUGACUGUAAAUGACACAUUUGCCCAAGAAUAUCAAAAAUUCAAAUCUAAACAGGAAGUUCUGUGAGAGCAUGAUGGAGUUAUUUCACUACAAAGAAGUUUAUUUAUAUAGCUCUUUGUUUACUAUGUGCAGUUUAUAUUCAACAUGGAAGUUUAAGAGUGAUGAAAAUAAUACAAAUGGUGAGUCAAUAUAAUUUAUUUAUUUUCCAACAGUAAUCUAGAUUACCUGUAACUAUGAUAAAUCAUGGAUUCAAACUGGAAGCAGGUUGUUUACUUUUCGUUUUGGUAGCUUUCACAAAUGACUGUUGCUUCACAUAUUUUUUUUUUGUUCAAAUGCUUCUGUUUUGCAAAUUAAACAGUUGUAUGUUUUAGUUUAUCAUGCUUUUAAUUUACUAAAUAAAAAGUGGAUACUUUUAAAUGAUAUUAUUCAACGGAGACAAAAACUUUAAACCAGUAGAGUUAUCUCCCCAGUCACAGGGUAAACAAUGCUACCAGUCUGCUUACCAUGGCACUGCAAUUACUUCAGUCUGUAAAUUCAGAGAAUAAUAUUUUGCUUUAAAAUUAGUGUUUUAACCUGUUUUUACUUAUUAAUUAUUCUAUUGGUGCUGCACACAUUUAUGUUAAGGUAAAUGAAAAUUAUUGUUAACAAAAAUAAUUGUUUAUGGAUUAUUUACUUGCUUUUAUAAAUGAUUAUAUGAGCCACGCCAUGAGAAAACCAGCCACUAUGUUGGUUUUCUCAUGGCAUGGCUCAUAUUGUUUAUUUUACAAGACUGGGGUAAUUAAAUUUAUUAAUUUAAUCAUGUUCAUCCAGAUAAUUCUUUCAAUCUAUUGAAGAGUAUAAUGUAAUAAGAAUAAAGACUAAUGUAACCCUCUAUUUACUAUACAUUUGGUAGAACUAGUGACUUUUUUUGGCCCCAUCAUCACAAUGUAUACAGUUAAAAUUUUAGUUCAUUGACAUACCCAAUAAUAAACCAAAGGUUUUUAUGAACAUUUUAAGUUUUAAACUAAAUCUAUUUUCAGGUACAGCACCAUAUGUCAUGUAUGUAUAUAGGUAUGGCACACAUGAAUGAAUUGGGACCUUAUCAACGUAUUGUGUUCAAAGAAGACCUAACGAAUCCAGCAGUUCAAAAACAUGUUUUGCAGUGAGACAAAUGGUGACAAUGACUUUGUGGCAGUUAGUGAAAAACUGUGGCAUUUUACACUGAUGAUGGCUACCAUUUACAGAAAAUUUCUCAGCCAGUAGUGACAUUCAAUUGAAAGUAAUAGCAUAUCUUAGACCGACUAUACAUCAGAAUGUUGUUGAAAAAAGCCAUGGCAAAAAGUGGAAAAUACUGAUCAAUAUACUUCAAUGACUUUGGAACUGAGUAGAAAAUGGUGACAUUUUAGCACCAUAUUGUGUGUAUACUUUUUCUUGCAUCCGCACAGUCCGGCCAGGAUCCAUGCUGUUCACUAAUGGUUUCUAUGGUUGCAAUAGCAUUUGAAAGCGAGCAGCAUGGAUCCUGACCAAAUCGAGCUGAUGCGCAGGCUGGUCUGUAGCCAUGCUGAUCGCAAAGCCUCUAUGUUGGUUUUCUCCUGGCACGGCUCAUAUAUAAAUUCAUGUAUGUAAAUAAUGUUUUGCUUAUAGUAUUUUGUCAGCACAGGUAAUGAAAUACUAAAAAAACAUAAAAUAUUUUGUUAGUGUUUUGUUUAAAUUUGUGACCUUGCUCUUUUGCAUAUCAUAAAUUAUUAUAUGUUUUGUUGGUAUUUUGUUAGCAGUGUUUUGUUAGUGUUUUCUUUAGCACAUAUAAUGAAACACUAAUAAAACAUAAAGUAUUCUGUUAGUGUUUUGUAUAAGCCUAAUUUGCAUAUCAUGUUUUGUUGGUAUUUCGUUAGCAAUGUUUUGUUAGUGUUUUGUUAGUGUUUUGUUACCUCAUUUGCAUGUCAUUUGCUAUACUAAUAAAACAUCAUCAAAACACA